GUGUCAGCCGCCGCGGUAAUACGUAGGUGGCAAGCGUUAUCCGGAAUUAUUGGGCGUAAAACGCGCGCAGGUGGUUUCUUAAGUCUGAUGUGAAAGCCCACGGCUCAACCGUGGAGGGUCAUUGGAAACUGGGAGACUUGAGUGCAGAAGAGGAAAGUGGAAUUCCAUGUGUAGCGGUAAAAUGCGUAGAGAUAUGGAGGACAACCAGUGGCGGAGGCGAGUUUCUGGUCUGUCACUGACGCUGAGGCGCGA
rnacentral:rRNA from 1 species